rnacentral:rRNA from 1 species
AAAGCAACAGCGAUAGCCUCAGUAACGGCGAGUGAAGCGGCUACAGCUCAAAUUUGAAAUCUGGCCUCCUUUGGUGGUCCGAGUUGUAAUUUGCAGAGGAUGCUUUGGCAUUGGCGGCGGUCUAAGUUCCUUGGAACAGGACAUCGCAGAGGGUGAGAAUCCCGUACGUGGGCGCCUGCCUUUGCCGUGUAAAGCUCCUUCGACGAGUCGAGUUGUUUGGGAAUGCAGCUCUAAAUGGGAGGUAAAUUUCUCCUAAAGCUAAAUACCGGCCAGAGACCGAUAGCGCACAAGUAGAGUGAUCGAAAGAUGAAAAGUACUUUGGAAAGAGAGUCAAAUAGCACGUGAAAUUGUUGAAAGGGAAGCGCUUGCAGCCAGACUUGCCCGCAGUUGCUCACCCAGGCUCUCGCCUGGGGCACUCUUCUGCGGGCAGGCCAGCAUCAGUUUGGGCGGUCGGAUAAAGGCUCCUGUCAUGUACCACCCCUCGGGGUGGCCUUAUAGGGGGGGCGUAAUGCGACCAGCCCGGACUGAGGUCCGCGCAUCUGCUAGGAUGCUGGCGUAAUGGCUGUAAGCGGC